rnacentral:lncRNA from 7 species
AGCAUUUGAGAGGUGUUUCACUUAGCACUCCUUGGGCUAGGUUUUCUCCUGAACAGUUUACAGGAUCAAGUGAUUCUGGUAUUUAGAUGUAGCAGAAAUGCUAAGUCACAGCUUGCACCACUGAUUGAGCACCUGGUGGGAAGGCAGGGCCAGCCCAGGGGAGCUCAGCUGCAUGCAAUGUACCUGAGUGACCAGAAGGGCUGGAGCCAGGAUCCACCCCUUGCCAGCAUUCAUUUAAGGGUUGGCAGUGGAGGUGAGGGUAUCUCACUGGAGAUCUCUGCAUACCUGAGGUCUUCCAAAGAUAUGAGAAAUGAUUUUGGAUUCUCCACUCAAAAGGAGCUUGGAAAGAAUUUUGGAGGAUGGACAAACAACACCGCCCAAAAGUCUGCUUUCUGCCAGGAAGAAAAUAAAGGAAGAAGUCACCACAGUGGCAAAGAACAUGAAGGGAUGCACUUACAGCAAGGCUGACACAAGGAUCCCUUAAGACUCUGCAGGGUCAUAUUACAAUCCAUUGAAGUUUUGUGAAUCUGAAGAAAAAAAUCAGCGACAGGACUCACCAUCUGUUGCAUAAUGAAAGAGACAUGUGAAUAAUAGAAUGUCAGUUGAAAGGGUUGCAAGUGAUCAAAUGUUGUUCAGCACCUCAAUAAUAUUGCCUCAGAAAAAAGGCUUGCUUUAGAUAUCUCAGCACUGCAAGAUUUUGGUUGUUUGUUUGUUUUGUUGUUGAUUCCACAGCUGGGAGUGGUAUUUAGCAUAUAUAUAUAUAUUUACUUAAUGGGUUUCUUGAAAGUGGCAGUACUUGAGGAUAGUGGCAAUGCUCACAGAUACAGACAGCUGCUCCCUUCGCUUUUGAAGUUCAGGGGCUGUGGAGAAUGUACACAUGCAGCUCAUUUUUAUAGAUGUGGGAUUGAAUUCUUAAUUUAAGUCCAAACGCGCCAUACACACAACCCUACCUUACCAGUGUUGUUUUUCUUUGACAUGAAUAAAGACCUGUGAUUUAAUCCUUCCAAACAUUCCAAAAUAAAGGGCAGAUCUG